AGUUUUGAAAAUUACAAUAAGCAAAAAGCACAACAUUCCAGUAGAAGUGUGAAGUACCUUGAAAUUAAAAUACUCAAGUAAAGAACAGGCACCUUAAAAUUGCACAUAAGUACAGUACUUGUAAAUGUACUUAAUUACUUUCCAGUACUACCCACACUGUGGCCUAUUAGUGGCUGGUAUUCCCCGUGUUAUAGAAUUCCCCUCUUCAGCUACCAGCAGUCAGUGGGACGUUCUGUUGCUAUAGUAUUCGGAUUAUAACGUUCUGUUGCUUUAGCAUUAAGAAUAUAACGCUCUGUUGUUAUAGCAUUCUAGACUAUGACGUAUUGUUGCUCUAGCAACUUCUACUGGUACAGCUCUUACACAUUUUAACUGACAUUGUUGAAUCCACCAUUUUGUCAGCUCUGUGGAUGUGUAUUUUUACUCACGACCUUUUUGGAGUAAUAUCGCAGGUUUCCUCUCUUCAGCUCCAGCAGAUCCUCAUCAAUGGCCAGGAGCCUCGGCGGUGCUGACUGAGGCAACAGCUGCUGUUUCAGACCUGCAGAGGAAAAAACACAAUCCACUGAGUCCUGCAGCUACAUCAGCACAGCCAGUGGAAGUUCUUGUCGCUACGGAUACGAAUUUCCUUCAUCUUACUUUUGGUGACGUACGAACCGUCAGCAUUGAAGUCACCCAGG